rnacentral:lncRNA from 1 species
UUUUUAAAUAAAAUAGAGACAGAGGCUAGGUGCGGUGGCUCAUGCCUGUAAUCCCAGCACUUUGGGAGGCUGAGGCAGGCAGAUGACGAGGUCAGAAGUUCAAGACCAGCCUGGACGACAUGACAAAACCCUGUCUCUACUGAAAAUACAAAAAUUAGCUGGGCAUGGUGGCACAUGCCUGUAGUCCCAGCUACUCAGGAGGCUGAGGCAGGAGAACCGCUUGAACUCGGGAAGCAGAGGUUGCAGUGAGCCGAGAUCACACCAUUGCACUCUAGCCUGGGUGACAGAGCGAGACUCUAUCUCAAAAAAUAAAUAAAUAAAUAAUAGAGACAGAGUAUGACUAUGUUGCCUAGGCUGUUCUUUAACUCCUGGUCUUAAGCAAUCCUCCUGCCUUGCCCCUGCUAAAAUGUUGGGAUCACAGGUGAAGCCACCAUGUCCAGCCUUUUUUUUUUUUUUUUUUUUUUUUGCUUUCUCUCUCUCUCUCUCUUUCAUAAAUUAGAGAUGGAGUCUCACUAUAUUGCCCAGGCUAGUCUCAAAUUCCUGGCCUUAAGUGAUCCUCCCACCUCGUAAUCUACUUUUUGGGGACUAAUGAGGUGUAGCCAAAAUACAACAUGUGGGAGGCAGUAAAUGUAGAGAUUAGGAGUAGAUUUGGCAAGCCAGACUGCUGUGGUCACACCCCAGCACAGAAUUUAUGAAUCCGGCUCCUCUCCAUUCAAAUCUCUGCCAAAAAUCACCUCCUUCUGGAGGCCCACCAUGACUAUUCUAUUUAAUACAGCUUACCCCACUGCCCUAUCACUCUCUACACCAUUCUCAUUUUAUUAUGCUCAGAGUAUCUAUUAUUCUCCGAAGAAGCAUUUCUUGAAAUCUAGCUGGUAAUCUUCUUUCCUUAUUAGAAUGUAAGCUCCAUGAGAGCAGGGAUCUCUCUGUAUCAGAAUCUGUAUUGUGCUUGGUAGGUAGUUGACUCAAUAAACAUUUCUGAGUGAAUGAAUAUAUUAUAUGGAAAUUGAAGAAUACAAGCUUCUCCACAUAAGCACGUGGCAGAAAAGACAAAAAGAGAGGUAGAGAAAAAGACUCUCUUUUUAUUUAAGCUUCCCUCCCCUGUUGAAAUCCACUACUCCAAAAAAGGGAGACACUGACCAAAACAGAAACAAAAGAAACUAAUUCUUGGUUUUUAUGCUUCCUGAUAAUUUAAGGGAUUUUCAUAGAUAGGUUUGACAAAUGCAAUUUUUUUGCCUUAGGCACUGGCACUAGAAACUAUUAAUAAACAAGAUUGGCCUACAGAGGGUGCUAGUUCUCUUCAAAAAAGUAAAAGAAGUGCAUGCGCUUUUCCACUGGGUCUGGGAAAGAGUUUACAAAACAAGCAGAGACACAGCUUAGUAACAACUAAUGAAACGUCUAAAUUGCCACAUUUUGCUUCAUAAAAAAAAAAAAAGGAGGAAUCUGUGAAAGUGCCAGAGGCAUUCAAAGACGUCCCCUGAGGAAAAGAAUUGGCAUCAUUUUUCAAAUGCAAAGAGAAGCUAAGCUAAGAGAAGCAUCCAUUUAAAAAGUUUUUUUAGUUCUUAUUUUUGAUAGAGAAGGGGUAUCACUAUGUUGACUGGCCUGAUUUUGAACUCGGAGGCUCAAAGGAUCCUCUGCCCCUCAGAGUGCUUGGAUUGCAGGUGUGAGCUACCAAGAGAGGCAUCCAGAAGUUGAAAAGACUGAAUCUGUUGUGAAACAGAAGACCCAGGUCGGGGGAAGUUGUUGCCAGCCCUGGAGGGAGGAGAGGUGACAGGCCUCUGCCACAUUCCACCCCCACUUCAUGCUGGGACAUGGGGACCUGGAGACCUAGUGUGAGAUGCCUGUAGACUCUGUAACUGGAGGAGUGUUCUGACAGCUGUGUUUCCUGAAACUGAGUCUUGGUUUCAGAGUUCAGCAAGGGAUAUGCAUGGUGGUGGUAGCGUUGGGACAGAAGCGGGGCACUACUUGAGAGUUUUGAAAUAUGUAAUUUGUCACAGCAAGGACAAGGGCAAGUGAGCCUGGCAGGAGGGAGGAGCCUCUUCAAAGUCUGGAUCUGCAAAAAAAAUCUUCAGAAGAGGAAAUGAAACAAAUAAGCGAGUUCUUAAAAAAGCUUUUGAGCUCUCUAAAUGAGCAAUAGUUGAGGCAGCUUUGAUAGUCCAAAGCUAACCUCAAGGCUGAGAUUCUUAAUCCUAGUACUCUAGACGUCAUAUUCCAGUGAUCAGAUGCAGAAUCCAUAAGUGCUCUGACAGGUCUUAUCAUUAUGUGUGGUGUUUUCACUUAGUGAGUGCCCUUGUUUUGUCAGUUCAAGGUGGCUUGCUUAGUUACUUUAUUGUAAUGUUCAAUGGCUAAACUUUAAACAAAAAUCAAUAAAGGGCAAGGAAUGAGUUUGCAAAAACUAUCAGCCACUUCCCUCAAUUUAAUUGUAAAAUCAAUCAAAUCUGUUUUUUGGCACAGUGCAAGGAAAACAUCUAUUUGUCCAAUAAACUGUCUCAUUGAUUAAAUGGUUCAUUUGGAAGAGAUAACAAAAGUCUAAGAUUUUAAUCUCAAGGAAAAAUGUAUCUUGCAAACAUGUUUUCAAGAUCCUGAGAUCAUAUUAUUUUCCUUUAAGGAUUUGCUUCAUCCCAGGUGUUCAUCUAAUCCUACUUUUGCUAUUUUUAAUCAUUAUUCAUCUAUGUAAAAUGGAAAAUCUAUUUAGAUGCUUAAAAGUCAACGUAAGCUCACAAACCUGAAUUUCAGCAACUAAAAAGGGAGAAGUAAUAAUGAUUCAGUUCUUACUGGGAGCUACUUUAUACACUAUUUUAUUUGGACCUCAUAACAACUAUAUGAGAGAGAACUGUGCACUCUCUGCCAGGGGUUAGGGUUAACAUAAAGCCAAAACCCAGGCAGGUCACGAAAAUGAGCAAAGCAGGCCAGUUAUGAGUGCUGUCACCUUACAAGGAGGUGGAAACAAUGUUUCCGGAUCCUGUUUCUUAAGAGAAGCCAAAAGAUUUACGUAAAGUCUCCUGAUUUUUUUUCAAUGGUGGUAAUUGAUUAAAAUAAAUAUUUCCAAUACUGUAUGUACUGAAUAAAGAAAAUUUGGGGCUGACCCUGGCCCAGCAACUGCCACUUAGCAAUGUCUGGUAUUGAAGUGAAAAUAAGGCUCAGGGCUGGGCACGGUGGCUCAUGCCUGUAAUCCUAGCACUUUAGGAGGCCAUGGUGGGCAGAUUGCUUGAACCCAGGAGUUCCAGACUAGCCUGGGCAACAUGAUGAAAUCCUGUCUCUACAAAAAGUACCAAAAAAAAUCAGCCAAGCAUGGUGGCAGGCACCUGUAGUCUCAGCUACUUGGGAGGCUGAGGUGGGAGGAUUGCUUGAGUCCAGGAGGCCGAGGUUGCAGUGAGCUGAGAUUACACUACUACACUUCUGCCUGGGCAACAGAGCAAGACUCUGUCUCAAAAAGAAAAGGCUCAGGAAGGUGACAUCACUAUGCUAAUUCAAGGAGGAAUGAAAGAGUGACCUCAUGGGACAGUAGAUCAGAGAAUGUUCUACCUGGUGGCCAGCCUAUUUGUGGGGAGGGGUCCCUAAGAAGAGGCUGUAUGCUGGCUUGGGUUAUGGAGGGCCAAAGCUCAGGGGCCUGGGGGAAGGAGAGAAGCUUAACCAAAGUUUGGCUAACAGGCAUUUUGUUCUGAUUGAUCAGUGGUGACAAGCAGUUCAGCUAGUCAUUUAGGAGGUCAAAAACAGAAGACUGGAAGAUCCCUAUCUAGUUUUGUCAUCAGUAGACAAAGGGGCACUCAUGAAACUUGUCUAAGUCAUACGGGGAAGGGUGGCCCCUUGCAGUAAGUCAUUUUCCAGAACGUAAAAGGGCAAUGGGCUUUCUUAACCUUCAGGUAAAAUUCCACUUUGUCAAAACAUAAGCAUGAUGUAGACAAAGGUUGAGAGUGAGAUCAGGCUUAUUGCCCAGUCUUAAGCCAUUUAAACCCAAGGUGGACUUUCCCCUCAGGAAAGAAGGGAAGGAAAGAAGCUAGGAAGGCCCUGGCUAGGUUCUGUGUGGGUUGGGGAAUGUGAAUCCUGAUGGAGCAGCCUAAAGAAGUCAAGCAGUCCUGUAGCAGCAGCCGUGGGGGAGGUUCCUCCUGGGAGUGGAGGAGGGCGAGUGCUGCAGGUCCAUCAGUGGAAAUGGGAAUGGACCAUUAGGCGGAGAAGACUUAUCGAAGCUGCGAAGUCCAAGAUCAAGGUGCCAGCAGAUUCUGUUCCUGGUGAAGGCUAUCUUCCUGUUUUGCAGGUGGCUACCUUCUCGCUGUGUCCUCAUAUGGUGGAGAGUGAGACUUCAUCUAAAAAGAAAAAAAAAAACCCACUCCGGACAUAGUGACUGUAGCUGGGUCUUGGACUGCAAGAAGACCAUCCUGCAGUGAGCACAGGGAGGAGGAGGUGCAUGCAAGCGAUACUGCAGGGCCAGAAUCAGAAUCAUCAGCACGUAGCAACUGAUUGGAUUUCUGGAGCAAGAAAGAAGAGUUGAAGAUAAUGUUGAACUUUCUCAUUGGGAGAUUUUACUAACAUUAUUGAGCAAUUACUGCAUGAUGGAUGUUACGCUAAGAGCAUUCUACAAUUAUUAUACCUCUUACGUCUCCCAGUAGUUCUGUUAAGUAAGUACUAUUGUUUUUGUUUUAGAGACAGAGUCGGCUCUGCCACUCAGGCUGUAGUCCAGUGGUGCAAUCUCAGCUUACCAUAGCCUCGGGCUCAAGCGAUCCUCCCACCUCAGCUCCCCAAGUAGCUGUGGUCCCAGCUGGCUCCAUAUGAAAAGCCUCUUGCUUCCUUAAUUACUAACCAAUGGUAAUAGUUUUUUUCUUUUUUGUUUUUUUCAAGAGACAAGGUCUUGCUCUGUCACCCAGGCUGGAGUGCAGUGGUGGUAACAUAGCUCACUGCAGCCUUGAACUCCUGGGCUCAAGGGAUCCUCCCACCUCCGCCUCCUGAGUAGCUGGGACUACAGGCAUAUGCCACCAUGCCCAGCUAAUUUUCAAAUAUUUUGUAGAGACCAGGGUCUUGCUAAUUGCCCAGGCUGGUCUUGAACUCUUACCUCAAGCAAUACUCCUGCCUCAGCCUCCCAAAGUGCUAGUACUUCAGGUGUGAGCCACCACCCCCGGUG